rnacentral:misc_RNA from 1 species
UGGCUCUCGCAUCGAUGAAGAACGCAGCGAAAUGCGAUAAGUAAUGUGAAUUGCAGAAUUCAGUGAAUCAUCGAAUCUUUGAACGCACCUUGCGCCCUUUGGUAUUCCGAAGGGCAUGCCUGUUUGAGUGUCAUUAAAUUCUCAACCUUGGAAAGCUUUUUUGUUUUCUAUGGCUUGGAUGUGGAGGUUGCGGGCUUUUCUAAGUCGGCUCCUCUGAAAUACAUUAGCUGGGUUUGCGCCUUCAGCCUAUUGGUGUGAUAAUUAUCUACGCCUCUUGGUUGUUAGCGUGUUUUACUUUCCAGCUUCAAAUCGUCCUUCAUUGGACAAUAUUUGACUAUUUGACCUCAAAUCAGGUAGGACUACCCGCUGA